rnacentral:rRNA from 1 species
GACGAACGCUGGCGGCGUGCCUAACACAUGCAAGUCGAACGGAAAGGCCUCUUUCGGGGGCUACUCGAGUGGCCAACGGGCGGGUAAGUCGUGAGUAACCUGCCCUUGACUUUGGGAUAACUUCAGGAAAAUGGGGCCAAUACCUGAUAGCAGCUCCUGCUGCAGGGUGGGAGUAGGAAAGUUUCGGAGGUUGGGGGUGGGCUCGCGGCUUAUCCGCUUGUGGGAGGGGUAGUGGGUUACCAAGGCUUUGGCGGGUAGCCGGCCUGAGAGGGUGACCGGCGACACUGGGACUUAGAGACGGCCCAGACGGCUACGGGUGGCAGAAGGGGGGAAUAUUGCACAAUGGGUGCAAGCCUGAUGAAGCAACGCCGUGUGCGGGAUGACGGUCUUGUGGUUGUAAAACGCUUUCGCUCAUGACGAAGCUUUGUGUGACGGUAGUGAGUAAAGAAGCACCGGCUAACUACGUG